CCUUCAUUUGUCAUUGUUGCAACCAAUGCAAAUGCCCAAGGAAUCAAAAGAAAAUGCCAACGCAACAUCCUACUGUACACAAACAAAUGAAAAAUUUGGCCAAUUUAAAUCUGGAAAUAUCUCAAACACAUGCAUCUGCAAGAAGCUUAUCGAAUGGUCAAGAAAUCAAAUGUGAACGGAAAUCGUAAAAGCCCAUUGCCAAAAUGUUAGUGUUCGUUGUCAAUGUAUCCAUGCCUGUACAUUGCCUGUUGUCGAUUUCGUUGAUGUCCUUAUGCCGUAAAUCCCUUGUCGGCAAUAAUAUAUGUGCACAAAUAACGACAAAAACAAAUGGAUGUCCGUAUACCGCCUGUUGGUAAUGAAGUGUGUAUACAACAAAAGUCUGUAGACGUUAAACCUUGUAUGCAAACUGGAUAUAAGAAUGAAAAUGCGACAUGUCCUGCAGUAAAUGCCUUAUAUGAUGCCUGUAAUCACAAACAUCAAAUGCAAAUGGACAUUGGAAAGUCCACAAAUAGUCAAAUGCCAGCAAUCCGUUUGUGCCCUAUCGUAUGCGACUGAUGUCUAUUUCCUGUCUAUCAGCCUAUUUCGUAGUGCCUUAUAUGAAGAUGUGUAUGGCAGGUAUAAAAUAUGUUGUAUGGGCGAUAACCAGCUGCAAUGCACAACAAAAAAAAGCAAACCUAUGUCUGUCCGUCCGAAGUAACCACACAAUCAAAUAUCAAAAGGAACUCUUUCUACAUGCGUGGACCUCUGAAUGGCGAAGAUAAGUACACAUUUCAAAUUCAAUUAUUACAAUCUUCUAAUUCGUUUCUUCUCUUUACAGGUAAUUCUUUUCUCAUACAUUUUCUAAUCUAUUUCUUUCCUUUCUAAAUUCCAGGUCAAUAAUGGAAAAACAUCAAUACAAAAGUCAUCAAAUAAGCUGCUAUGAUCUGACAUCUAUAAUAUAAAUGCAACAUAAUAGUGGCCAGCGCCAUUGAUAAGGACAAUAUACAUAGGUAUGAUGGCUGAAAUCUUGUAACGGAUCAAGUGAUGGUGGAGAAUGGUGUAUAGCUUUAAGAAUUACUUUUAGUUUAACAAUUUCAAAUUAAAUUUAAAAAAAAUACUUUAGGCUGAAAUUUAAGAUGUAAAAUAAUAAAUUUCAUUUAAUUUUUUUUUCAAUAAAAAACAAAGAAAUCUA